UAGGGAAUCUUCGGCAAUGGGGGGAACCCUGACCGAGCAACGCCGCGUGAGUGAAGAAGGUUUUCGGAUCGUAAAGCUCUGUUGUUAAGGAAGAACGAGUGUGAGAAUGGAAAGUUCAUGCUGUGACGGUACUUAACCAGAAAGGGACGGCUAACUACGUGCCAGCAGCCGCGGUAAUACGUAGGUCCCGAGCGUUGUCCGGAUUUAUUGGGCGUAAAGCGAGCGCAGGCGGUCAAUUAAGUCUGAUGUGAAAGCCCCCGGCUCAACCGGGGAGGGUCAUUGGAAACUGGUUGACUUGAGUGCAGAAGAGGAGAGUGGAAUUCCAUGUGUAGCGGUGAAAUGCGUAGAUAGAUGGGGGAACACCGGUGGCGAAAGCGGCGCUCUGGUCUGUAACUGACGCUGAGGCUCGAAAGCGUGGGGAGCGAACAGG
rnacentral:rRNA from 1 species